rnacentral:rRNA from 1 species
AUUGAACGCUGGCGGCACGCUUUACACAUGCAAGUCGAACGGCAGCGCGGGCUUCGGCCUGGCGGCGAGUGGCGAACGGGUGAGUAAUGCAUCGGAACGUGCCCAGUAGUGGGGGAUAGCCCGGCGAAAGCCGGAUUAAUACCGCAUACGACCUGAGGGUGAAAGCGGGGGACCGAAAGGCCUCGCGCUAUUGGAGCGGCCGAUGUCGGAUUAGCUAGUUGGUGGGGUAAAGGCUUACCAAGGCGGCGAUCCGUAGCUGGUCUGAGAGGACGACCAGCCACACUGGGACUGAGACACGGCCCAGACUCCUACGGGAGGCAGCAGUGGGGAAUUUUGGACAAUGGGGGCAACCCUGAUCCAGCCAUGCCGCGUGCGGGAAGAAGGCCUUCGGGUUGUAAACCGCUUUUGUUCGGGAAGAAAUCCUCUGGGCUAAUACCCCGGGGGGAUGACGGUACCGGAAGAAUAAGCACCGGCUAACUACGUG